AUUCCCCGUGAGUGCAGCUCAGCAGCAGGACAGAGGGGGAAAUCAUAAAACCACUUCUAUUAAAGAUAUUCUGGUUACUUGUUCAGGUUACUUAUACAUUCCAUGACUUCCUGAGGUCAGAGCAAAGCCUGUGCUGGGCAGAAUGGAAGGGGUGUGUACCACUUCACAGAUCAGUACUGACUGUCUCUGCCUGGGGUGGUGUUACAACAUCUUGGAAUUCUUUCUUGAAGAACUUCUGAGGAAGCUGUUGCACCAGGAUGAGAAUUGAGCAAGCAAAUCCCUUGGGCCACCUUUGCAGUCUGGUCACUGAAUCUGUUGAGCCUCACCACUCCUAAGUUCAUUAAUACACCCAGUUGUCCCAGCG
rnacentral:lncRNA from 1 species